UGUUUAAUCACGUUUCCUCAGGCUCUGUGGUGGGUGUGAAGGGUAACUCUGGUCAGUGUGUGUACAGUGCCAGUAAAGCCGGACUGGAAGGAUUCACAUGCUCACUGGCGAAGGAAGUUGCUACCCGGAAUAUACGAGUGAACUUGGUGGCUCCAGGAUUCAUUCGGACGGACAUGACGGCAGGGCUGGAGAAGCAAGAAGCAGUGAGAAGAAUUCCACUGGGCCAUUUUGGGGAACCUGCAGAGGUGGCCCAGGCUGUCCUUUUCCUCCUGGAGUCUCCUUAUAUCACAGGACAGGUUCUGCUCGUGGAUGGAGGACUACAGCUGGCAUUGUGAUGAUUUCUGCCAGCAAAGCAUGUGAGCCGACUGCAUAUUUUUGCAAUGCUGAUAAUAUACAAUAACUAUUUACAGACUGCGUCAAAUCUUGCUAUUGUUAAUCACCUCCUCAUUGCUCUGUGGAAUUCUGAGUCACACGUAUCAUUGUGUAAGAGCAGUUUUGGUCCAUCUGGAUUGGAUUAAGGUUAUUUUUAGUUCACUGGAGUUUUGGGGUUAUGGCUGCAUGUUCACAGGUCAAUGUGUGGAGGACAUGACUCGCUUUGUGUUGUCAUGCUGAAAAUAAGUAUCCAAAUAAGCUGUGCUACAUUACACUUACAGAUGAAUUAAACCCCUAACUCAUAUAAAAAUAAUUUAAGAAAAAUAAAAUGGGUAGACUAAAUUAAAAUAUAUUAAAUUCUGGCCUUUUCACCAUCAUAAAAACACUAAUUAUCAAAAAAAAGCUCAUUCAUCUUUGAGAAAUGUUUUUGCCAAGAGCAACUGGACUCAACCCAGACUCAGUCAUUUCAGAGACAUUUAUUUAUGUACUAUUCAUAAACCAGAAGAGAAUAAGGAGAACAGUCUGUAUACAGGCACAGGUUGGCUUGGAAAACCAAAUACUGCAAGUAAGAAAAAACCUCCAAAUAUGUCUAUUUAAAGGGAAAACAGCGGUGUAAGAAAAA